rfam:Parcubacteria bacterium GW2011_GWB1_45_7 TX16_C0008, whole genome shotgun sequence.
GGGCCCGUAGUUAAAUGGCAGAACAACGGUUUUGCAUACCGUAAAUAGGAGUUCGAUUCUCCUCGGGUCCA